rnacentral:tRNA from 3 species
AGUCCCUUAGCUCAACGGUAGAGCGUGCGACCGAUAAUCGCUUGGUAAGAGUUCGAUUCUCUUAGGGACUA